UUCCGCCGGAGAAGGAUCGUAGAAAGGAGAACUGGGCGAUUACUCAUCAACCUGGGCGACACGCGAAUUGUCAAUUGCCCGGAAAGGAGUUAUUAUCACAAGAUAUUUUCUUUUUAGAUUUGCCAUUGGGUUAUCAACACAUCUUGCUGGCUCGUGCCUCGAUGGUCUUAUUCUGCGUUGUUAUAAGGUAUUUUACAAUUCCUAAGCGUUAAUAUUAAUAUUAAUAUUGUUUUAAAAAGGUUGAUAAUUGAUAUCUAGACUAAGGCUCACUACGAUCCAUUGUUUUUAGCUGUUCGACUCUUUGAUUAACGUAAAGCUUAAAACUGAAAGAUUUUAAAACAAACAGUUUACAUGACGUUUCUAAACAAACAAUAAUUUGUGACUUUAAUUAAGAUGUGUUCAAUUUAAACGUGGUUGACUGAUCGGUGCUAUACGAAGCAAUUUUUUUUUUCAAAAUCACGCUAGUUGCCAUCUAACGGUGAAUGAUACAUUUAAACGAAAUAAAAGAAGGGAAGUAAAACCAAUUUAAGCUCUUUUUGAAAAAAAUUAUUUUUCAUUGGGCUGCAUUCGACGAAUUAAUUUCGAAUUUUAUGGUUCAUCCGCCUUGCUGACUUCCUCUAAUUCCUCUCCGCUAUUAGAUUCCAGAAAAAUGUUCUAAUUCCUGAGGUCAACCAUUUGGAAAGCUUGACGAGUGUUCACGGUACUCUAGGUUUUACUAGCCUACCAAUCAAACAGAGACCGAACUCGUUAAAUGGUAAAAAUGCGAGAAGAAUUAAUUUUUGAUUAUAAGUUUCAUUAGAAUGGGUUUAUCCUUUCAGAACCCGAAAUUUCUACGCACCUCUUUUUAUCUAGGUGAUCACUCAGUUAUUCUUAACGCACAGGCACAGCUAUAGGUUAUUAAAUUUCCUCGCUACCAGUGUGUAUAUCGGACAAAAAAGAAUUUUGUGUUUGUUAUGCUAAGAUUUUUACUAGCCAUUUGUUUUAACAGAUGGUAGAACAAGUCCACACAAUUUGUCAAAUAUGGGUAUUUUUCAAACAUAUUUCUGGCUUAAAGGGACAGCGCGCACCUGCCAUAUCUACCUACCUACCUAACCUCUGGCUUAAAGAUUAGAUUACAUCAUUACAGACAAGAAAGAAUCAUCCCUCACCCCCCCCCCCAAUUGUUCCGCCAUUUGUAUCUCCAUAAGACAAUAUCCGCAAGGGGUUUUACUCGUAAUCAAAGAAACCUACGCAAUAUAGCCUUUUCGUCGUAUUACAACUACAACACAAGUAAACUAAGCACAUGUUCAUAAAACGAAAAAAUGAACUUUAGGUAAGAAAAAAUUGCGCUUUAUAAACUAUUUCUUAAUAUUUAAAAAAUGAAGGGAUUUUGCUGUAAAUCGCAUUUUAGUGACGCUUCAGCUGUUAGCUAAAUUUAUAAAGAAAUCCGUACUUAAAGAGGGUUUCUGUUACAAAUAAUUUAGACAUAUCCGAUCAUUUAUCUUUAAAGACAUUGUCGAGCGCCUUGGGGGUUAUUAACUAAUUGAAAUUACAAUGUAAUGUAAUUUCAAUUACGAAUUACAAUAACUUCGGUUGCAAGGAGGUCGUCCUCCAAAUAUCGGAUAGUCAAACGUCUUAAAGGAUACUUGAUAUAAUUUUUGGACGAGUGUUUUCAAUGAAAACACUUCCUGAAAAAAAUAAUGUUAAACACUACCACAACAUAAUUAAGAAUACAAUUCUAUCACAACUUAUAAAUACUUCUGAAAUCUUUCAAUCUGUCCUAAGUGAGCAGCAUUAAUUACUUCGCUGUAUUUAGAUUGAGUUAGGUUAGCCUCAUCGCAUUGGUUUUUGGUUUCUGGCACAAUGUAAGUUCUGAAUGUUUUCUUCCAUGUUUCUUCGUCAUUUUAUUUGUGUUUAUGGAAUUAAUUCCACGCCAUUUUAAGUGUAAGUUACUUUACUGAUUUUAGUGCUUGCACAGUUUAUUAUUGUACUCAUAUUUCGUUUCUACUCGAAAUUCUAGAUUUUGGGUAUCUUACUGCUUAACAAGUUCGAUAAUCAUCAUUUUCAUUCAUGUGUGAUAACUUCCUUCCAUAUACCAUCACUGACCCCUUUUUUUCAAGUGGCUUUAUUUAGUCUUUAAUCAUUUUCAGUUGUCAAAUUAGUCAGUUUCAGUUACUUUGCACAUCCCUGUUAAAAUGUACUGGUAGUUAUUGUGUGGUAACCUUUUGGUGAUGACUGACGAUAACUAUUCCACCAACAGAGCUCACUUGUUAAUUUUUCGAUAAUUGCUUUUUUUUUAAAUCUACUAAAUGUAUUUCACGGAGAUGACGAAUAUUUGUUUAUUUUUCGUCCGUUGAUGCCAAGUGCUGUCACUAGGUGGCUAAAUAUUUCAGUGUGUUUAGGGAUUGAACUAUUCAGCCCUAGUGUGUUGGUAUUAGGGGAGGGGAGGGGGCAUCAAACCAAAGUUUUGAGACGACCGAUUCCCCAUUAUUUCUUUUCUAUCGAGACGCUGUCGAGGAUGGUUACGUUGAUCAUUGCGGGGACUUUCUUUCCUGAUAUGUUCUUCAUAAAAAAGGUUGGUGGAAAUUGUUCUCAACGUGCAGUGUCAAGUUAACAAGAUACCUCUGAUCAUGCCUUUGAGGUCUCUAUCAUGUUAGGAGAUGAAAUGUGAAGAAAACGGAAGGCAAUCUGAAAUGGUAAAAUCUACUUGUAAUAAGACAACUUGAGUAGGAAUUCUCGAGUCUGGUGUUGGAGCUGUUAAUGGUGGUGAUUUCUGGUGUGCAAUGGUGUGGCAGUCAUUUUUCGAUGAAGAGAUGUGCUGAAAUGGUUCUUCUGCAGACUUGGAAGUUCAACAUCAGACUUCAUUUUACCAUGCUCUUGUCCAUGCAGUGUUGAGCUCUUGUGCAAAAUAGUUGGGGUUUCCUGAAGGCUGUCUGGCAUUUUGUUGGUGUUUUCUCUUGCUGCCUGUACCCACAUUAAGUUCAAUCGUACGCCGCCGUUCCAGACUUGAUCCAUUGGUGAAGCCGAGAAAAAGUUGCUGAAAUUCAAGACUGAAAAAAUUAAUCAGACUUUGACAAUUUACAAAUGCAUAUCUGUUGUCCCUUUUCCCUGAGUAAACAGCAUGUCGGCCGUUGGUUAUUCGUCUGGUCGUACGGGAAAUAGCAAUGAGAAAUUCUGAUGUAUAUUUUUGGAGAAAGAUUAGUUUGACCACGAAAUAAUUCUCCCUUAUAAUUUGAUAUCAACUCUUCAUCCUUUAUAUAACGUUUCAAAUUGUUCGCUCUUCAUAUGUGUAUGUCCAAUAUUAUUACUUCGCAAAUAAUAAAAUAUGAAAUCAAA